CCCCGUGCAUUUCGGUCCCGCCAGCCUGGGCCCCCUGAUCUGAGCUGCAGCUCCCCACUGUGGCAGGAAGCUCUGGUUGAGACCGAUUUGAUCUCCAUCCGAACUGUUUGGCGGUGCCCGGUGCCGCGCAGGUUGGAGCCGGGUCUCCAGGUGGCCGGGACUCUGCGCCUCUGUCCUCCGCGCUGCCCAGCCUCACGCGGGGCCGUGGUCGCCUCGGCCUCUCCGUCCCCCAAGGCCCGGGACCCGCCCUGGUCAGGACUCCCUGCUAACGCCGCUCCUCCUGCAGGGCUCAGAAUCGGCAGCACCUCCUCCUUGGCGUCCUCCCGGUUGCCCCCACAAGGUCAGCGCCGCCCUCCUGGCUCCCAGGCAGCCUCCACACCCUUCUCAGCGGCGCUUCUGUCCCCUGUGUGCAGAGCCGGGACCCUGUGCUCCCGACAGGCCCCUGCCCUCCCCUGGGCAUCGGCGUCCUGGGUCACUCAGGGUGACAGUGGUGCCCGGGAGCGGCGUGGCCGGGUGGGCUGCCUGGUCGGGCAGCAUUCCGUCCCCUGGUCCCUCCUGGGGGCAGGGCGCCCCUCUGGGCACGCGGUCCUCACUCUCAUGCCUGUUUUUCUCUCUGCUCUGCUUCCCCGCGGACCUGGCUGCCGGCACCCGGGCCUCCAGACAGAACAGAAGAGGAGAUGCACAGUCCUGAGACGUGAGUCAACGCUGCACCCUGGCCCGCCUUCGCACCUCCGCCAGGGGCUCCCCCGUGGGGGGCAGGGGCUUUUGGGGGGGGCAGUGGCUCCCGGGACCUCCCGAGGCAAGGACACACGGGCGGUGGGGGGCCCGACGCUCUCCGACGGCUCCAGGCAGCCCCUCGCGAAGCUCAGGUCGGCCCUCCCGACGCUGCAGAGCAGGGCCGGCCCCGCGCUGAGCCAGCUAGGGUCCGGGCUGCGCUCCGGGGCGGGCGGGGUGACGCUGUGUGCGCGCCGUCUCCCGCGGACGGCCCUGACCACCUCCCCACACUGCCCAGAGGCCGCUGGGGUCAACCCACCCCCACGCCCUUCUCAGCCUCCCCAAACCCAGCUGCACCCGCCGAGCACAGCCCUGCCUGCCUGCUGCCCCACGGCACGAGGGCAGACGGACCGCGGCGCCGUCCCACUGCCCCGCUUCUGAGAGCACCCUGUCCUCAGGACCCUGCCCCUUGGCCCUUGCCUGACGGCCCCAGUCCUGGGCGCAGCCCGAGACGGAGACCUGGGGACGGUGGUGUUCAGCCAGGGCCGGGUGGGGAGUGGCUGCCGUGGGGUUUGGAGGUGACGGCUGACAGCUGUGGGGGUUCCUCUGGGGUGACAAAAACGCUCCCGAGUUGACUGUAGCAAGGGCUGCACAGCUGUAAGGUGACCAAAAAACACUGACUUCUACACUGGUAGUGGGGAACCUGUUAGAUAUGCGAAUUAUAUGUAAAUCAAGUUAUAAUAACGGGCUCUGAGCCGGGCGUAGUGGCGCACGCCUGUAGUCCCAGCACUCGGGAGGCUGAGGCAGGAGGAUCGCCGGGAGUUCGAGGCCAGCCUGGGCUACAGAGUGAGCUCAAGGCCAGCCUGAACUGCAGAGUGAGACCCCGUCUCAGAAGCCCGGGCGGGACGGCUGUGCCACCCCCGGGGGAGCUGCGUGGGAGGCCGGCACACAGCAGCGCCCGCGGCGGGGGG
ensembl:lincRNA